GAUGAACGCUGGCGGCGUGCCUAACACAUGCAAGUCGAGCGAUCUUCUUCGGGAGAGAGCGGCGGACGGGUGAGUAACGCGUGGGUAACCUGCCCUGUACACACCGAUAACAUACCGAAAGGUAUGCUAAUACGGGAUAAUAUGCUUUAGUCGCAUGGCUGAAGUAUCAAAGCUCCGGCGGUACAGGAUGGACCCGCGUCUGAUUAGCUAGUUGGUGAGGUAAUGGCUCACCAAGGCGACGAUCAGUAGCCGACCUGAGAGGGUGAUCGGCCACAUUGGAACUGAGACACGGUCCAAACUCCUACGGGAGGCAG
rnacentral:rRNA from 1 species